GGUCCCAUAGCUCAGUUGGUUAGAGCGUCGUACUAAUAUUAUAGCAAUAUAACAUUGGUAAUGCGAAGGCCGUGAGUUCAAGCCUCACUGGGACCA
rnacentral:tRNA from 1 species